ACGGGUGAGUAACACGUGAGUAACCUGCCUUUACACAGGGAUAGCCUCGGGAAACCGGGAUUAAAACCUGAUGAAACUAUCAAAUCACAUGAUUAAGAAAGUUAAAACUCCGGUGGUAAAAGAUGGACUCGCGUCCCAUUAGCUAGUUGGUGAAGGUAACGGCCCACCAAGGCAACGAUGGGUAGCCGGCCUGAGAGGGUGAACGGCCACAUUGGAACUGAGAAACGGUCCAAACUCCUACGGGAGGCAGCAGUC
rnacentral:rRNA from 1 species